AUUGAACGUUGGCGGCAGGCCUAACACAUGCAAGUCGAGCGGAUGAAGGGAGCUUGCUCCUGGAUUCAGCGGCGGACGGGUGAGUAAUGCCUAGGAAUCUGCCUGGUAGUGGGGGAUAACGUCCGGAAACGGGCGCUAAUACCGCAUACGUCCUGAGGGAGAAAGUGGGGGAUCUUCGGACCUCACGCUAUCAGAUGAGCCUAGGUCGGAUUAGCUAGUUGGUGGGGUAAAGGCCUACCAAGGCGACGAUCCGUAACUGGUCUGAGAGGAUGAUCAGUCACACUGGAACUGAGACACGGUCCAGACUCCUACGGGAGGCAGCAGUGGGGAAUAUUGGACAAUGGGCGAAAGCCUGAUCCAGCCAUGCCGCGUGUGUGAAGAAGGUCUUCGGAUUGUAAAGCACUUUAAGUUGGGAGGAAGGGCAGUAAGUUAAUACCUUGCUGUUUUGACGUUACCAACAGAGUAAGCACCGGCUAACUUCGUG
rnacentral:rRNA from 1 species